rnacentral:rRNA from 1 species
CUACGGGGGGCACCAGUGAGGAAUAUUGCACAAUGGGGGAACCCUGAUGCAGCAACGCCGCGUGGAGGAUGACGCAUUUCGGUGUGUAAACUCCUUUUAUAUGUCAAGAAAAUGACGGUAGCAUAUGAAUAAGCACCGGCUAACUCCGUGCCAGCAGCCGCGGUAAUACGGAGGGUGCAAGCGUUACUCGGAAUCACUGGGCGUAAAGGACGCGUAGGCGGGUUGGAAAGUCAGGUGUGAAAUCCUACAGCUUAACUGUAGAACUGCACUUGAAACUUCUAAUCUAGAGUAUGGGAGGGGGAGAUGGAAUUAGUGGUGUAGGGGUAAAAUCCAUAGAUAUCACUAGGAAUACCUAAAGCGAAGGCGAUCUCCUGGAACAUUACUGACGCUAAGGCGUGAAAGCGUGGGGAGCAAACAGGAUUAGAUACCCCGGUAGUC